rnacentral:rRNA from 1 species
UACGAAGGGGGCUAGCGUUGCUCGGAAUCACUGGGCGUAAAGGGCGCGCAGGCGGCUACGCACGUUCGUUGUGAAAUCGCCCGGCUCAACUGGGCGGGGUCAGCGAAUACGGCGUGGCUGGAGCAAGCUAGGGGGCAAUGGAAUUCCCGGUGUAGUGGUGGAAUGCGUAGAUAUCGGGAGGAACACCAAUAACGGCGAAGGCAGUUAACUAUUCUGCUACUGACAUUGAGGCACGAAAGCGUGGGGAGCAAAACGG